rnacentral:rRNA from 1 species
UACGAAGGGUGCAAGCGUUAAUCGGAAUUACUGGGCGUAAAGCGUGCGCAGGCGGCUUUGCAAGACAGAUGUGAAAUCCCCGGGCUCAACCUGGGAACUGCAUUUGUGACUGCAAGGCUAGAGUACGGCAGAGGGGGAUGGAAUUCCGCGUGUAGCAGUGAAAUGCGUAGAUAUGCGGAGGAACACCAAUGGCGAAGGCAAUCCCCCGGGCCUGUACUGACGCUCAUGCACGAAAGCGUGGGGAGCAAACAGG